rnacentral:rRNA from 1 species
GACGAACCGAGCGAACGUUGUUCGGAAUCACUGGGCUUAAAGGGCGCGUAGGCGGGUGCUCAAGUCUGUGGUGAAAUCCUCCGGCUCAACCGGAGAACUGCCAUGGAUACUGGGUGCCUCGAGGGUGAUAGGGGUAUGCGGAACUAUCGGUGGAGCGGUGAAAUGCGUUGAUAUCGAUAGGAACUCCGGUGGCGAAGGCGGCAUACUGGAUCACUUCUGACGCUGAGGCGCGAAAGCCAGGGGAGCAAACGGG